rnacentral:lncRNA from 1 species
ACCUUGAAAACUUGAUGUAUGAAGAACUGAUCAGUUACUGGCAAUUCGGAAUUGCAGAAAGAAAAGAUUGGUGGAAAAUCAACGCAAUUUGAGGUUUUGUGAAAAUGAGAGAGAAUAAUUUAUUAACAAUAUUUCAUUUUCAGUUUGAAGAUGGUACUGAUCACAUGUAUUUGACAAUUUAAGUGAAAUUUGUUUGACUCGGGGGGAGCAUUUUAUGUCUGUUUUAAUCACAUCAUCACACCAACCCUCCUCACUAUAUUGAUUGUUAAAUUUGGUUUCUUCACAGAAUUCAAUAUUAUAAACUCAGGUACUUCUUUUUCCUUCUGUCAGCACACCAUUGCAGAAAAAAUUGCAUCAAUCUUCCUCCAUUUCAGCUUUCAAGUCAUCACUGAAAAACAGUUUAUGCCAGUCACAAUCCGCAUCAGUUACCAAAUUGACUUCCCUCUGCUCUACGAGCCUAAAAUUCUUCCGAUUAGCCAAGCUCACCUAACUCGUUUUUUUUUUCCCCGAAUCCAAAAGCAAACAAAAUUUCCUAUGCAAAUUAGCCAUUUGUCAUAUAAACUGGAUUCAAAAUAUUGUGAGUUUCAAAGAGCAGAUAAAAUGACACUUUAAAACCCCACAAGAAAGAGAAAAAAUUUACUUCUAAUUUUACACUCAACAAAGAGCAAUAACAUUGCUUCUUAUUGUAGUAAUGCUUAGCCACUAAAAAGGGAUGAGCAUAAACCAAAAGGUUGAAGGAAUUGGUCAGUCAUAAAUAAUAAAAUCCGAUUUGAAACCAUGGUCUAAUUCAACAUCUUCACAUGUUGCAAACCACAGCAGAACACAUUGAAAAUAUUGAGCAUGUAGUAAUAAACAAUGACAACUCGUCCUGAUGAGGAAAACUUUUUUCCACAUAGUGUCGCUUGGUCUUCAUAGUUCAUAUUCAAAUGUUUUGUCCAAUUGUGCGCGUGAGAGAGAUAUGGAAAAGUCAGACAGUCAAAAGCCAAAUAGAAAAUUCACAAAUGGUUCAAUAAAAUAGCAGUUUUCUGCUAUUAACUUAAUCAGUUGAGUUGAUUACUAUGAAUAUCUUGUGGGUCGUGGCGCGUUCAACUUCUAUCACACACGUCCCUCUUUUUUCUUGUUUAUUAUGAGAAAAAAUUAUUGUUUACUUAAUCAGUCCAAUCCAUCUUUGCAGCUCUCUAUAUAAUCCCCUCUAAUCUAAUAUCCUGGUAAGCUCAUCGAUCUUCUGUAUCUUCAACACUAAUCCAAACCCCAAACCAAUUCUCUCUCUUUCUCUCUUAGAUUCUUACCCUCCGUUCUUCAACAGAAAGUAACCUGUUUUCAGUUGACGAAUGGACGUUUACGAGAGAGGUUUCAUACCUGAAAUUCCACAUAGUGAAGAAGAGAUGGACGUAAGGAAAGGUCCGUGGACUGAAGAAGAGGACUCCAUGCUCAAGGCGUAUGUCAAUAUUCAUGGUGAAGGUCACUGGAAUUCUGUUGCUCGCUUAUCAGGUUAACAAUUUGUUCCACGAUUAUUUCUUUCCUUGUUAUUGGAAAAAAGUCUCCUUCAUUCAAAAUCGAUAGAAACCCAAGAAUAUUUAGCUUUUUUGCAUCUGUUUGCACAUGAUUUUUUUGUGUUAUUGACAUGACCAUUUAUGUGUACAGGAUUAAAAAGAACCGGCAAAAGCUGCAGAUUAAGAUGGCUGAACUACUUGCGACCAGAAGUCAGACGAGGAAACAUCAGCCUCAGAGAGCAGCUAUUGAUUCUUGAACUCCAUUCUCGAUGGGGCAACAGGUUUUUACUUGACUCCCGUAGUGCUUUCCUCAUUCCUGAAAUUCAAUAAACAUAUGAAUGGUUUUAGCUACCUUGUCUAAUUGUGAUCCUGAAAACCUGAAGGUGGUCAAAAAUUGCACAACACUUGCCUGGAAGAACAGACAAUGAAAUAAAGAACUAUUGGAGAACAAGAGUUCAGAAGCAGGCAAAGCAGCUUAAAUAUGACGUUAACAGCCAACAAUUCAGGGAUGCCAUGCGUUACGUUUGGAUUCCCCGUCUAAUUGAACGGAUCCGUGCUUCAUCCGAUUCCCCCUCAGGUCAACCCUCCACCAACGCCGCCACCACCACCACCUACAUCGAUAGUAUCAGCAAUAUAACCACCAGUCAAAUCACCUAUGCAAAAACAAUUGGUUCAGUCCAGGUUGACCGAAGUCUCAUGCCCGAGCUAUCAGGCACUUCAUCAGACUCCCUGGACACCCAAGUCUCUUCCGUUACUGACCUCACAGAUUGUUACAAUCCCCAAAAUGUUUCAAACUUCCCAAAUAACUUCCAAAAUGGGUCGGGUUUAUACCAGGAAAAUUUAACGGCCACAUGGGGUAGAGAUGAUGAGGUAGAAUUUCAGGCAACAGAGGAGCAGAGCA